AUAUCAAUAAGCGGAGGAAAAGAAACCAACUGGGAUUGCCCUAGUAGCGGCGAGCGAAGCGGCAACAGCUCAAAUUUGAAAUCUGGCCUCGGCCCGAGUUGUAAUUUGUAGAGGAUGCUUUUGGCGCGGCUCCUUCUGAGUCCACUGGAACGUGGCGCCACAGAGGGUGAGAGCCCCGUAUAGAUGGAAGCCAAGCCUGUGUAAAGCUCCUUCGACGAGUCGAGUAGUUUGGAAAUGCUGCUCUAAUUGCGGGGUAAACCUCCCGUAAGGCUAAAUACCGGCCAGAGACCGAUAGCGCACAAGUAGCGUGAGCGAAAGAUGAAAAGGGCCUUGAACAAGGGCGUCAAAAAGUAUGUGAAAUUGUUAUGGGGGAAGCGCUCGAUGCCAGACUCGGGACGACUGCUUAACCGGUGUUCUUCGCCGGCGCACUCUGUCGUUCCCGGGCCAGCAUCAGUUCAGCGCGGGGCUUACUGCCUCGGGGAACGUGGCUCCUCCGGGAGUGUUAUAGCCCCUUGGUGACGCCCCGACGUCGGACUGAGGACCGCGCCUUCGGGCCUGGAUGCUGGCGUAAUGGCCCCUAGCGA
rnacentral:rRNA from 1 species